rnacentral:rRNA from 1 species
UACGUAGGGUGCGAGCGUUAAUCGGAAUUACUGGGCGUAAAGGGUGCGCAGGCGGAUAUAUAAGUUAGAUGUGAAAUCCCCGGGCUUAACCUGGGAAUGGCAUUUAAGACUGUAUGUCUAGAGUUUGUCAGAGGGGGGUAGAAUUCCAAGUGUAGCAGUGAAAUGCGUAGAGAUUUGGAGGAAUACCAGUGGCGAAGGCGGCCCCCUGGGAUAAAACUGACGCUCAGGCACGAAAGCGUGGGUAGCAAACAGG